GGGCCUACUUACCAGGCACUCAUCUGUGAAGUUAGCUGGAGCAAAGCCACGGAUUCAUCACACUCGGGGUAAAGCAGCCCCAAUGUCAUCAGAGAAGGCAAUGGCACCCCACUCCAGUCCUCUUGCCUGGAAAAUCCCAUGGACUGAGGAGCCUGAUUCCUCCUGGUGGGCACAGAUGAAGGUGCCAUGGGAACCAUGCCCUGAAUGAGGCGGGACCCCUGAUGCUGAGUGCAAGUUUGGCCUUCAGUGCCCGUCCUCGCGCCCUGUUUUCCCUUGGAGAGUGGGCUGCAGAGACCUGAACAUGACAGGCCCCAUCCCAGUUCUGUGAUGACCACAAGGCCACCCCGAGCAGGUCUCCAACCAGCUUGGAUGCUGAGGGAGCUGAAGGUAGCUGCAUGGCUGGCUCCUUCCUGUGGCCUCAGGUCAGGCUCCUGUGCUGAGGGAGGCUGUGGGUGCCCAGAUGCUGCCUCCCACCUGGGACAGGACAGGACUUGGCUGAUCCAGGGAAACUCUGCUCCUUCUGGUCUCCCCUGGAAACUUCUGCCCAGCAGGGCUGCCCUCUGCCGCCACUCUGGCCUUGGCCCUCACAUCUGCCAGGAAAGCGCCUGGACUCAGAGAAACCUGGAUUCUGAAUGCAGCCCCUGCCGGGUCUUGCAUGGUUCAUUUCUGAGAUCUUCAGCCUCAGCCUUCUCCUCCCCCUCCUCUGUGUCUUGAGGCCCAGGGACAGUCUGAGAGCGGGGUAGAGAGCUGACAGGGCAAGAAGCCCGAAGAACCAGCAUUUACCAGAUGCCGCUCAUUAAAUGCUGACUUCAAAGGCCAGCUGGGCCACCUGCUGGCUGUGUGCUCUUGGGCAAGUUUAACUAACCUCGUUGUGCCUCUGUUCUCCUCCCCAGAGGGUGAUAAUAGGGGAACUGACUCCACUAAUGAAAUGUGCUGUGGUCGGUUGGGGACGGGGUCUCUACUGAUCUCCAUGCAAAGACCCUGGGGAGCAUUGGGGGUUCUGGGUGAGCUUCACUCCUCAUUGCACCUUGCUGCUGGGAGAGACUUGGACCAGGAUGACUUCUCAGAGCUCGGCCACCGCUGUAC
ensembl:lncRNA